ACUCCUACGGGAGGCAGCAGUUAGGAAUAUUCGGCAAUGGGGGAAACCCUGACCGAGCGACACUGCGUGAAGGAGGAAGGCCUUAGGGUUGUAAACUUCUGAACGAGAGACGAUAAUGACGGUAUCUCGGUAAUAGCACCGGCUAACUCCGUGCCAGCAGCCGCGGUAAUACGGAGGGUGCGAGCGUUAAUCGGAAUUACUGGGCGUAAAGCGCAUGCAGGCGGCCUGUUAAGUCAGAUGUGAAAGCCCGGGGCUUAACCUCGGAAUUGCAUUUGAAACUGGCAGGCUAGAGUCUUGUAGAGGGGGUAGAAUUUCAGGUGUAGCGGUGAAAUGCGUAGAGAUCUGAAGGAAUACCAGUGGCGAAGGCGGCCCCCUGGACAAAGACUGACGCUCAGAUGCGAAAGCGUGGGGAGCAAACAGGAUUAGAUACCCUGGUAGGAUACCG
rnacentral:rRNA from 1 species